CAGUCGCCGCGGUAAUACAGAGGGUGCGAGCGUUAAUCGGAUUUACUGGGCGUAAGCGUGCGUAGGCGGCUUCUUAAGUCGGAUGUGAAAUCCCUGAGCUUAACUUAGGAAUUGCAUUCGAUACUGGGAAGCUAGAGUAUGGGAGAGGAUGGUAGAAUUCCAGGUGUAGCGGUGAAAUGCGUAGAGAUCUGGAGGAAUACCGAUGGCGAAGGCAGCCAUCUGGCCUAAUACUGACGCUGAGGUACGAAAGCAUGGGGAGCAAACAGGAUUAGAUACCCGCGUAGUCCCUGUCUCUUAUACA
rnacentral:rRNA from 1 species